GUCAAGACCGAAGCUCCGUAUCUUCCGAAAUCUGCAAUCUUUUGAUCGUUCUUCGUGGUAAGGAUGUCUGAUUUCUCCACCAAGCUCGAAGAAAUCACCCAAAUCCUCGUAUCUCUGGACGUCGGAGCCAGCAAGUCACUCACCUACUCCACUCUUUUACGUCUCCAAGAACAGUCAGUUUCCGACCACGAUGCAAUGUAAGCCCUCGCCGAUCGUUCUCGCAGGCUAAUCUCGCUUCUUGUCGGUGAUGUACGUGAAGAAGAUGAAGAAAUUGCUGUCCAGGCCAUGAAGUGCUUGGGUUUCAUGAUACAUCACCCAACAAUUCUUGCUUCCGUCCCCGGUGACUCUUCUUCAAUCUCCUUCUUUUUCCUUGAUGCUAUCUGGGACGAAACUAGAGUUUAUGUCUUGGAAUGGAAAAAAAUGGCGUUUCUUGGCGCUGCAGUGGGUGUUGCAGGUGGAGCCUCGGAGUCACUGGCCAUUGUCAUCAUCAUUGCUAAAAAGUGAAGGGAGGCUGUGCUGCAACCCACAUAUCUAUGAUCAAAUUCUUACCCCUCAAAGUUUUAAGAGUAAUCUCUGUUUCGUCGUAGCAGUCAGUCUGGAAUCCCGUUAUGUGGUGUAUAGACAUCUAUGCAGCAGUUCGAUGGGUCUCGGCUGAAUG